GCGGGAGUAGCUUAGUGGUAGAGCGCAACCUUGCCAAGGUUGAGGUCGAGGGUUCGAUCCCCUUCUUCCGCUC
rnacentral:tRNA from 1 species